rnacentral:rRNA from 1 species
UACAGAGGGUGCGAGCGUUGUCCGGAAUCACUGGGCGUAAAGGGCGCGUAGGUGGCGCCGCAAGUCCAUGGUGAAAGCUCGAUGCUCAACAUCGAGUCGGCCACGGAGACUGCGGGGCUCGAGCACUGUAGGGGCAGAUGGAAUUCCGGGUGUAGCGGUGGAAUGCGUAGAGAUCGGGAGGAAUACCAGUGGCGAAGGCGGCCUUCUGGACUGACACUGACGCUGAGGAGCGAAAGCGUGGGGAGCGAACAGG